rnacentral:tRNA from 1 species
CUCCUCGUAGCUCAGCUGGAUAGAGCAGCAGUUUCCUAAACUGCAGGCCACUGGUUCGAAUCCAGUCGGGGAGGCCA